AGGUUAUCUCUUUUGCGUUUAAUUCUAAAUUUCCAAAAUAAUUUUCGAUAUGGCAUUGUAUGCGGUUAUGAGUAUAAAUGUGAAUGUAUGCGCUCAUACGAAAUCAUACAUAUCGCGUAUGCGGCGGAAGAUACUUCGAUCACGGCGCAUCGAUCCAUUCUACCCGUCUGCUGAAGAUAUGUAUAACUGUUUCUACGGCUCGUAAGGGAAUUCCGCAGGCCGCCUUGAAUCGGGUGGGAAUCGUUCGGGAAAACGUUUCAGGGAACCGUUAGCGUACCCGCGGUGCGAACGCAUCUUACGAAUGAUUGUCCUCCUGGGUGCGCGCAAUACGAUCGUUCGCUUGCCGAGAAUGAGAAGUUUCGACCCGUUCUUUAAGUAUUACACUAAGGAAUCGAUUUGUGUUGACUUCACGGCGCACGUGUAAGGCUCUGACGUAAUGUGCUAAUUGAAGCGUUUCGCGGAAUGAGUUAGACAUACGUGUUUAUUAAGGAGAAACGAGAAUCCAUAAAUCGCAGACAAUCAGUAGACAUUAGCAUUGUCGUUUAAUAAAAAUUAUCACAAAUAAAAAAAAAACAUAAAAACAUUGUAAUCGGUGAGAUGAAUCAGGAGCGUAAAUUUUUAGUAAUUUUAAUUAAGCUAUUUGUAAUAAUUUAAUAAAAUUUUAUGCGCCUUUUUCUAUAUCUGACGGCAUCUGCGAACUAUCACACAUGAGUAAAUAAUCGCCGUUUGGCGAAGUACCAGCUGUGUAGCAGCAUGAAAAUAAUUUACGCAAAUGAUGAAUAUCCACUCGAGCUCUUUGCUUUGCAGGUUGUUAGUGCGCAUGUACUGCGACACGAAGGAAGCGCAGCAAGAAGCGCAAGAAGCGUCGCGCAAACUUGAUAAUCACUGCCGUCUCUUGUCAACUGCGACUUAUCGAGUCUCGCUAUCUCGCAUCUCGCGGGUGCGCCUGUCGUUAAGCCGGCCGCCAACAUUUUGUAAUUGAUUGAAGCAAAAUACAGUCGUGCAAGGCAGGCCGGGCAAUCGGGGGGACAGCCGAGAUCCAGUAAGUCAAAUUUUCCCGUCAAGCGACGGCCGCUCGUCCGUGUACAUGACGUUUUAAUAACGGUUCGUGAGCGAUUGAAAAUGUCAAUCUACUCCGCUUUUGCGGAGAGCGUGCGUGUAAAACGCGUGCACUACAUUCGCGAUGCGUGCGAAACGCUCGUCGUAGGUUCGUAUCUGUUAACCGUCAUCGUUUAAGAAUUCCGCUUUCGAUCUCUCGCGUGUUCGUUUAACGCCUUGGAAUUGUCAAAGCGUUUUUCCUAAGUAAAGUCCUGGCACCUGCUUUUUAGCACAUUAUUACCUUCGUGAAACCGACAUUAGAAGGGGCUUUUUCAUCGAUACAUACUCGCUCCUCGCGCUGCUCGCGCGGCGAACUCGCGCGCCGGACGUGCCAACCGACCGGACAAUAUUUAAUAUACGAUCAAUUUUUUCAUUUUCGGAUUGGAUCGUAACAUAUCCCUUUUUACGUAAAAUUUUUUUUAUAAAAUACGUAAUUAUUUUAUAUUGCAAUAAAAGAGAUUUUUUGCCGAGAUAAAAAGUAAUAAAAAAUUUCAUAUUAAUUUUUAAACAUGGAGCGCAAAUUUUUCAUCGGAACACACGGAAACAAGGGCUACCGGUUUAGAUACAUUUAUAUAUUAUGCAGUAUGUAAUUACUUUCCGAUAAAAGGGAUUUUUUUUUGCCAAGAUAAAAAAAAUAAUAAAAAUUUGUAUUAAUGUUAAAAAUGUAUUCCCGAGGCUCGAUUUUCGCCGCUGGCGAUUUCAAGACAGAUACGGGACAAUAAUACAUGCUUUUUUUCCUGCGUAAUGCCAUAAUGGAAUUAUUUCCGCCAUGUCUCGUUUAAACGAAAGUUACGAUACGAUCGCAACUGUUCUGGCUGAAUUGCACCAAAAAUCUGCAUUAAUUGAUUCUGAUUCACGCUUCAUGAUCUCUUUUUGUAUCAUUUAAAAUAUAAAGUCAGAUACACAUAAUAAAGAAAAUUCUUUAAUGAUAGUUAUUUAAUCGAAAUUAAAAAUUAAUCAAGAUUAACGUGAGAGUCGACCGCUAUAACCGGCCGUAAGAAAUUCAAAUUGAUCUUGGAGUUAAACUCAAGUAUAAGUGUCAUGUUUCGAUAAUCAAUUGCUUCUCACCGUCGACGUCGGUCAAAAGGCCCGGAACAAUGGCGUUAGCGUGGAUAGGCGAGAAGCGGUAUCGCCGGCGUGAGUUUAUCUAGCCAGUUCUAUCUUUUAUUAGCAUCCCGUAGAAGCUAUUUCGUAGCCCUUUCUCUAUCGCCUAACGUAUCCAGGCAGUUUCUCCGGAGUCUCGGCCGUUCCGUAGUCGAGCAGGAGUACCAGAAGUGCGUAUUUACGAGCGUUCCCGUCCAUAAAGCAACCUCGCGCCUGAUUUUGAUACAUUCUCCACUCCGAGCACUAUCUCACGCGCGAAUACGACCUACGUAGCCAUACACUUGGGAUUUAUGGUGAUACUGCGCGCGAGAUAUAUACUACGGAAUUUAAAGCGACGAGCAGACGGAUACGUGUUGCUGAAACAUACAUUAGGCGUUGGAGAAAUAACGACAGACCGGCACGGGCAGGAAUAAACACACAGCAAGCAUGAAGCGCAACCCUCUAGCAGCAGCAAAUAUGCAGCCGCGCGCCACUCCGAGACAUAUUUUCGCGUCCGAUAUAAAACUUGGCGUAAAUCGAUAAUGUAUUGUUCAACAAUGCUAUUUUUGUUCAUACAGAUAUGUCAGAACUUAUGCAAGCAAAUGGUGUAGCGUCACGAAUUAAUAUAUGUGCCCUCGGCUACUUAAUCCAUUUAUUAAAAUCGCGUGUUGAUCGUCAACAUGUGUUAUCGACGUGA